UGGUAACGUGGCCUUCUUUCUGUAAGAGUUUACUGUAAUUGCACAUGGGAUAAGGAAAAAUAGUGGUUUGUGCAAUAGGUACCAGGAUGAUUGGCUCAAGACGUCAGCAAGCUCUCUGCAACUCUGGGAAAAGGCUCCUCUUGAACCAUAUACUCUGCAAAAACCUAUGACUUACUAUGUUGUAUGUCCAGACAUUGAUCCCCUUACUACCGCUGCUGCGGAAUUUUUUCAGCAACUUGGCACUGGUAGCUGCAACUUCUGAUCUAAUGCUUGGAUAUGUGGAUUUUUUCCUCGGUGGAGAUGAAAAAAGAGCUGACCUUCCUCCUCGCCUUCAGCAAAGAUUUCCAAUGUCUUUGUUGUUUGGAGGAGAUGGAAGUUACAUGGCUCCUUUCUCUCUUCACAGUGACAAUAUCCUCACUAGCCUCAUGAGUCAGGUCUGCUAUUUGUUAUUGAUAAAGAUAAUGGAAUGUUCAAGAUUA